rnacentral:misc_RNA from 1 species
GAUGAAGAACGCAGCGAAAUGCGAUAAGUAAUGUGAAUUGCAGAAUUCAGUGAAUCAUCGAAUCUUUGAACGCACAUUGCGCCCAUUAGUACUCUAGUGGGCAUGCCUGUUCGAGCGUCAUUUCAACCCUCAAGCCUUAGUUGCUUGGUGUUGGGAGCUUAUCUUGCCGAAAGGCGGGACAACUCCUUAAAUUUAUCGGCGGAGUCGCGGUGACCCCAAGCGUAGUAAAUUAUUUUUUCCUCGCUUUAGGUGUUAACGCUGGCUUUUCUAGCCGUUAAACCCCCCCUAAUAUUUUAAUGGUUGACCUCGGAUCAGGUAGGACUACCCGCUGAACUUAAGCAUAUCAAUAAGCGGAGGA